GAUGAACGCUGGCGGCGUGCCUAAUACAUGCAAGUCGAGCGAACAGAUAAGGAGCUUGCUCCUUUGACGUUAGCGGCGGACGGGUGAGUAACACGUGGGUAACCUACCUAUAAGACUGGGAUAACUUCGGGAAACCGGAGCCAAUACCGGAUAAUAUUUCGAACCGCAUGGUUCGAUAGUGGAAGAUGGUUUUGCUAUCACUUAUAGAUGGACCCGCGCCGUAUUAGCUAGUUGGUAAGGUAACGGCUUACCAAGGCGACGAUACGUAGCCGACCUGAGAGGGUGAUCGGCCACACUGGAACUGAGACACGGUCCAGACUCCUACGGGAGGCAGCAGUAGGGAAUCUUCCGCAAUGGGCGAAAGCCUGACGGAGCAACGCCGCGUGAGUGAUGAAGGUCUUCGGAUCGUAAAACUCUGUUAUUAGGGAAGAACAUACGUGUAAGUAACUGUGCACGUCUUGACGGUACCUAAUCAGAAAGCAACGGCUAACUACGUG
rnacentral:rRNA from 1 species